rnacentral:rRNA from 1 species
CCCGCUGAACUUAAGCAUAUCAAUAAGCGGAGGAAAAGAAACCAACAGGGAUUGCCCUAGUAACGGCGAGUGAAGCGGCAACAGCUCAAAUUUGAAAUCUGGCCUCUCAGGUCCGAGUUGUAAUUUGAAGAGGAUGCUUUUGGCGCGGCGCCCCCCCUGAGUUCCCUGGAAUGGGACGCCACAGAGGGUGAGAGCCCCGUAUGGUGGGGCGCCAAGCCUCUGUAAAGCUCCUUCAACGAGUCGAGUAGUUUGGGAAUGCUGCUCUAAAUGGGAGGUAAAUUUCUUCUAAAGCUAAAUACCGGCCAGAGACCGAUAGCGCACAAGUAGAGUGAUCGAAAGAUGAAAAGCACUUUGAAAAGAGGGUUAAACAGCACGUGAAAUUGUUGAAAGGGAAGCGCUCGUGACCAGACCUGGGCCCGGCAAACCACGCUGGUGGGACCCCCCGCCGCGGUACUUUGCCGGGGCCCAGGCCAGCAUCGGUUUCCGUCAGGGGGAUAAAGGCUCCGGGAAUGUAGCUCUUCCGGGAGUAUUAUAGCCCGGGGUGUAAUGCCCCUGCGGGGACCGAGGGCCGCACGCUGUAAGGAUGCUGGCGUAAUGGUCACCAGCGACCCGUCUUGAAACACGG